rnacentral:rRNA from 1 species
AGAGUUUGAUCAUGGCUCAGAACGAACGCUGGCGGCAGGCCUCAAACAUGCAAGUCUAGGGGGUGUAGCAAUACAUCACCGGCGGACGGGUGCGUAACACGUGGGAAUAUACCUUUUGGUUCGGAACAACGCAGGGAAACUUGCGCUAAUACCGAAUGUGCCCUUACGGGGAAAGAUUUAUCGCCAAAGGAUUAGCCCGCGUCCGAUUAGCUAGUUGGUGAGGUAAUGGCUCACCAAGGCUCCGAUCGGUAGCUGUUCUGAGAGGAAGAUCAGCCACACUGGGACUGAGACACGGUCCAGACUCCUACGGGAGGCAGCAGUGGGGAAUCUUGCGCAAUGGGCGAAAGCCUGACGCAGCGACGCCGCGUGAGCGAUGAAGGCCUUCGGGUUGUAAAACUCUUUCGACGGGGACGAUAAUGACGGUACCCGUAGAAGAAGCUCCGGCUAACUUCGUGCCAGCAGCCGCGGUAAUACGAAGGGGGCUAGCGUUGUUCGGAAUUACUGGGCGUAAAGCGCGCGCAGGCGGUCUUCCAAGUCAGUGGUGAAAGCCCGGAGCUCAACUCCGGAACUGCCAUUGAAACUGUAAGACUUGAGGAUGAGAGAGGUGAGUGGAAUUCCCAGUGUAGAGGUGAAAUUCGUAGAUAUUGGGAAGAACACCGGUGGCGAAGGCGGCUCACUGGCUCAUAUCUGACGCUCAGGCGCGACAGCGUGGGGAUCAAACAGGAUUAGAUACCCUAGUAGUCC